UUCCUACGGGGCGCAGCAGUGAGGAAUAUUGGUCAAUGGUCGGGAGACUGAACCAGCAAGCCGCGUGAGGGAUGAAGGUACAGAGUAUCGUAAACCUCUUUUGUCAGGGAACAAAACCCGGGACGUGUCCCGGACUGCGUGUAUCCGAAGAAAAAGCAUCGGCUAACUCCGUGCCAGCAGCCGCGGUAAUACGGAGGAUGCGAGCGUUAUCCGGAUUUAUUGGGUUUAAAGGGUGCGUAGGCGGUCCGUUAAGUCAGCGGUAAAAUUGCGGGGCUCAACCCCGUCGAGCCGUUGAAACUGGCAGA
rnacentral:rRNA from 1 species